UCUCCGUAGGUGAACCUGCGGAGGGAUCAUUACAAGUGACCCCGGUCUUACCACCGGGAUGUUCAUAACCCUUUGUUGUCCGACUCUGUUGCCUCCGGGGCGACCCUGUCUUCGGGCGGGGGCUCCGGGUGGACACUUCAAACUCUCGCGUAACUUUGCAGUCUGAGUAAACUUAAUUAAUAAAUUAAAACUUUUAACAACGGAUCUCUUGGUUCUG
rnacentral:misc_RNA from 1 species